rnacentral:piRNA from 1 species
UUAGUUUUGAAAGUAUUUGUUCGC